rnacentral:lncRNA from 1 species
UCCGGAUGUCGCUUCAAAAGUAUUUAACGAUCUCACACAUCAUAAGGGGCACCCCCUGUCACGCCCAAUAUGCGACCCUAUCCAAAAGGAACUCGAAGGUCCCACCAAGGAUAGACCCGCAUAUUGAAACGCUUUGCAAGGUGGAUAUCAUUACAUCAACAUUACAUAAUAGAUGGGGAUACAUACAUAAGGAUUACAAUGCCACACGAAUACAACAUCACAAUACAUAAGAGCAUCAUCCGUCUACGGAUGAAUCACAAACAGAAACUCAAACGACAUCCACCCUGCUAGCCCAGGCUGCUGACCUGGAACCUAUCCCCUGAACGAAGAAGAAGCAGAAGAAGAACUCAACGCAAGCAAGCAUCGCUCUCGCGUCAUGAUCAUCGCAUAAACCUGUACCUGCAACUGUUGUUGUAGUAAUCUGUGAGCCACGAGGACUCAGCAAUCCCAUUACCAUGGGUAUCAAGACUAGCAAAGCUUAAUGGGAAAGGAAGGGGGAAAAUGGUGAGGCUGCAACAGCGACUAAGCAUAUAUGGUGGCUAACAUAUGCAAACAAGAGCGAGAAGAGAGCAAGCAGAACGGUCGUGAAGCUAGCAAUGAUCAAGAAGUGAUCCUAAACUCCUACUUACGUCAAACAUAACCCAGAAACCGUGUUCACUUCCCGGACUCCGCCGAGAAGAGACCAUCACGGCUACACACGUGGUUGAUGCAUUUUAAUUCGGAUCUGGUGUCAAGUUAUCUAAACCGGACAUUAACAAAUUCCCAUCUGCCUAUAACCGCAGGCACGGCUUUCAAAAGAUUAUACCCUGCAGGGGUGUCCCAACUUAGCCCAUGACAAGCUCUCGCGAUCAACAGAGGAAUAGACCUUCUCCCAGGAAGACCCGAUCAGACUCGGAAUCCCGGUUUACAAGACAUUUCGGCAAUGGUAAAACAAGACCAGCAAAGCCGCCCGAUGUGCCGACAAAUCCUGAUAGGAGCUGCACAUAUCUCGUUCUCAGGACACACCGGAUGAGCAAGACGACGGGUUGGCAUAGACCCUGGUUGCCCAGGGGGCGCCGGACAUCGCUCGGUUUGGACCAACACUUAGACAAGCACUGGCCCAGGGGGGCUAAAAUAAAGAUGACCCUCGGGCUCCGGAAACCCAAGGGAAAAAGGGCUAGGUGAGGCAAAUGGUAAAACCAAUGUUGGGCCUUGCUGGAGGAGUUUUAUUCAAAGCGAACUGUCAAGGGGGUCCCAUAAAUCACCUGACCGCGCAAGGAACGCAAAAUCCGGGAACAUAACACCGGUAUGACGGAAACUAGGGCGGCAAGAGUGGAACAAAACACCAGGCAAAAGGCCGAGCCUUCCACCCUUUACCAAAUAUGUAGAUGCAUUAAUAAUAUAAGAGAUAUUGUGAUAUCCCAACAAAAUCCUGUCCACCAUGGAGCAAUCUUCAACUUCACCUGCAACUAGCAACGCUAUAAGAGGGCUGAGCAAAGCGGUAACAUAGCCAAGCAACGGUUUGCAUAGGUAAGGUGUCAAAGGAUAGAGGUUCAUGGCAAUAUGGGAUGGCUUGAUAAACAGGUAAUAGGUAGCGCAGCAUAGCGAUAGAACGAAGCAACUAGCAUAGCAAUGAUAGUAGUGAGAUCCAGGGUAGCGGUCAUCUUGCCUGAAAUCCCGCAAGGAAGAAGAACGAGUCCAUGAAGUAGACGAACCAACGUAGUCGAACGAAUCCUCACGAACGCAACGUUACCGGAACUAAGAAGCAACACCAGAAAGAAGCAAACAACAUGGUAAACACACAAGCAUAAACAUGGCAUGAUGCACAAUCAAGUAUGAUGCAUGUCCGGUUUAAUGAGGCAUGGCAUGGAAAAGUGCAACAAACAAUACUACAAGUUAAGUGGAGCUCAAUAUGCAACGAGUUGCAUAUUGACAAAACACCACAUCAAUUAUUUAGUUCUCUCUCGGUUAUGAUACUCAACAAAUAUUAAAUGUUAAUUAACAUGGCAAGGGGUGAAGCAUAAGUAAACUAACUAUUUAGGCAAGUUUAAAUGAGGCCGGAAAUAACGAACAACAAUUCCGGAAAAAUCCCCAUGUGCAUAUUAUGGAUUUGGUACUGUUCUGCCCUAAACACCAUUUUAAUGUUGUUAAACAGGAAAAUAAAGUGCACCAUGUUAAACUAGGCAUUUUCCACCCCAUUUACAUAUAAAGUUUAUUAAAAACGGAGCUACAAUUAUUUAGUUAUGAAUUAAAGCAUUUUAACAUGGCAUAUUAGCAAAUUAAUGCAAACAUCAAUUUAAACAUUUUAAACAUGGAUGAAAAUGGCAUAUUAUUAAUCUACACAAUUUUCUAAGCAUUUUACAUAUAUAAAUUAUUUACAUAUGAUGCAUAUUUGUGAGUUAUUAAAUGCAUGAACAACAGGGGGUUUUCUGCAAUUCUGUAAUUCUACGGAUAAUGACAAAAUUCGCAGGCAGGUAAAAAAAAUACAUGCGGGCCAAAUCUAGUCUACCGGGCUGCACAGGUCAGGGGCGCUUGGGGGGGGGGUUCUCACCCAUGGGCUCGGCCCAGGUCGGUGGAGGAGGCCUGGCAGGCCGCGGGGGAAGAUGGGUCAGGGCGCUGGCCCACGCGCUCGUCAACGGGAGCGAACCGGCGAGGUGCUCGCUGGGCCUGGAGGCCACUGGACUGCGGGGCCUGGAGGAGGCUGGCUGGGCCUUGGAGCGGAUCUGGAGGCGCGCUGCUGGAUCGAACAAGGGAGGGGACGCGGUCAAUGCGCGGGCGAGGCGCUCGUCUCCUCGUUCGCGAAACAGGGGAUCGAGCGACAGGAGGAAGGAAGCGGCGGCGCUGGAGGGUCCUGGUGGCCGGAUUUGGCGAUGCGGCGGGGUAGACGAGGUCCUGGAGGCGCUCGGGCAGAGGUGGGGAAGGCCAUGGCGCCGGAGUCUUGUCGGUUCCCGCGCACGACGCACAGGCAGGAGGCGGCAGCGCUACAAGGAGAACAGAGAGAGGGAAAGAGAUGUGAGGGAGGAGGAGACCGAAGGAAGGGGAAGGGCGCGCUGUGGGACGGCGGAACUGACCGGAUCCAGGACGAGGACGCGAACUCCGGCGAAAGACGGCGAUUCCCGGCAGCGGCGAGCUCCGGUGGUGGCGCCACGGUCUACUGCUGCUCGCGGGACGGAGGGGGGAUCUGGAGGUCGGGCACGAGGUCACCGGUAGCAGGUCGAGCUCCUGCUCGAGGAAGGAGGCACGCGAGGACGAUGCAGAGCAGCCAUUCCUAGAGGCCGGCGACGGCUGCUCCGUCGAGGCAGAGAAGAUCGAGGCGGGAUCGUGGCUGCGGGGCACUGUGGUGGACCGGUGGGGAUGAACUGGUGGCCUAGGGGCCAUCGGAUCUUGAUCUGGUGGCUCCAGAUCAAGGUGGAAGAUGGCUGGCUGGAUGAGGCUGGGUGUGUGUGGUCGGUUGCGAGGUGGAGAGCAGCGGCUGGAUCGCUGGUGAUCCCGAGGGAAUGGAGACAGCGGCGGCGGCGAUUGGACAGGGGAGGAUCCCUAGAAAAAUAGGGUUUGGUCUUAAGUUACUAGGGAUGGACUAUAUAUAUAUAUAUAUAUAAAGAGGAGUUUGGAUCAUCCGAUUUAAAUCCGACGGUCGAGAAUAAAAUGCUUUGGGAGUCCAAACAAAUAAACGAAGAUAUUUUAGGGAUGUUUGGGGAUGAUCCGGAUCCAUCGGAAACGACAGACCGGUUCGGGUUCGGAAGAGGUUUCGGACGCGCGCGAGGGGGUCUAUGGUUGUGCAAAGAGGGGGUUGGGCUGAGAAGAGAGAGGAGAAGGCAGCCCGGCACGAUUUUCGGAGACCGAAAACGUCCGACGAAGGUACCGGCAACGAUACCGCUAUACAUUUAACGGUUGGGCUAUCAGAUGGACUCCGAAUGCGACGAAACUUGGCAGACGGCCUGUCUACACUAUAAUAAGACCGCAUGACAAGUUGCAACCCAUUCAGAGAACAUUUUUAUGCCGCUUAUAAAAUAAUAUUUCGGAGGUGCCGCGGGCGCGUGCGAGUGUGGUCGGGCUCAGAACGAACAACGGAGAGAACCGGCGGAACACGAACGGAUGCAAGUUUUAUGAAAACGAUGCCGAUGCAAUGCGCAUGAUGCUAUGAGAUGAGAUGCAUAACAAGAACAAAAUGCAAAACAACAAAUAAAACCCAACCACGAAGGAAAUAUCAUAUAGCAUCUCCAGAAAAGGCAAGAGUCGGAGUUACGAAUAUGGAAAGUUGUAUCCGGGGCGUUACAACACUCCACCACUACGAGAGGAUCUCGUCCCGAGAUCUAGGAUGGCACCGGAGGGAAAACAGAAAGGAAGAGAAGAGGUAAAACUAAGUUGCUUCUUCGACAAAUGAGUGAAACCACGAACCUUGAGAGGUUGAGCAAUUAGAGAUGAACGAGAUUGCAAACAAUCCGUUAGAAAAGAGGAACAAGGAACAUCCGAGAACCUUGUAGGUUUAGUGAUAAGAUAGAUAUUGAAAACCACUCCAGUUGAAAAGAGAAGCAAGAUAUACAAGAGAAUUUGGGCAGCACUCCGGUAGAAAAGAGAAGGAAAACUUGAUAAGAUGAGAGAACUUGAAUGAGAACACAACACUCCGGUUAAAUGGAUAAGCAUGAAAAGAACACGGUCCUCGCAAUUCGAGAUGAUGAGUGAAAAGAGCAACAUCACAAUGCCUCCGGAACGAAAGAAUAGAAGCUAGAUCGUUGGGAUAAAGGGUCGGAGAAGAAAAUGACAACUUGUGUCACAAAUGAGCUUGGGAAGCACCCUUCCAAGAAGGUUAGAACGGAGUUGUUGGAAAACCAACAACGAAAAGAACAAGCUUGUUGUGGGCUUAUGGCAAACAUCUCAAAAUGAUGAGGUGACAACCGGCCACUAACGAAAAACAAUUGCUUGUUUGAGAUCAAAGAAGAGAUGAAAACUUCUUCCACCAAGAGGAUAAAGAGCAAGCUUGGGUCAUGCAUAAUCACCACAAUUAGCAACAACCCUUAAGGAAAGGCUUUAGGUGAAAUAUAACCCAAGAUAACUCCAACAAUGAGGUUGAUUGGUCGAAAAGAUCUCUUGAACAAAGAGAAAAUGAUGGAUUUAAAAUACCUCAUUCUUGACAACAUAUGAAUCAUGAAACAUGAAGGAAAUUGUCAAGAGUGACAUAACACCACCUCAAGAGAUAUUGCAGAAGGAAUUGCACUUUGGAAUGCAAGAUGAAGAAUGCUUGAACACCUCAAAACAAAACAAGUGUUGAGCACCAUGUUUAUUUUGAAGUAUGGCUUGACGGAUCAUAGCUUCGAGAGAAAACUUGAGGAACAAUUGAAGAAUGAAAGAAUCCUUGACGAACCACCAAGUAGAGCCUCCAUGAAGAACUCCGGUAAUAAAAGGAUGAUAGAAAGAAAGAGAAGAUGAAACACAAGGUGAAGCCUUGCAAUGUUUUAGAUGGAGCUUUGCGACGAUAUAACCAAGAAAACUUGGAACUCCGAAAAAGGAAAAGAUGAACACUAGAACCGAGAAUUACUUCAUCAUGAACAAUCUCCGGAAGAAGGAAUUAAUCACUUGGAUGAAACAAGAAUAAGAAUUACGGUAUGCGUAUCCUUCAUCAAAUUCAAUUGAUGACAAGCAAUGGAUUUGGCACACUACUUAUUCCCGUAGAAAGGAUUAAAAGAGAUAUAGCGCAAACUUGAGAAGGUAUUGAUGGAACCACCGGUGGGAUUGAAAAGAACGAAUGAAUGAAUGAAUUGAUACGAUGACGAAGGAAGAGAAAUCUUGAAUGAACCACCGUAUGAAUUGAAAACGAACGAAGUAAAGGGGUGAAUCACCGGUAAGAAUUAGAGAACGAAUGAAGAUACUUGAGGGAAUUUGAUACAAGAGAACAAAGAGAUCACGAGCUGAUUAGAGAAUACUUGAGCAAUGCACCGGUAAGAUUUGGAUAACGAGAGCUGAAAUGUGAGGACGAAGAAUUAUGACAUGAUGGCCUUCGGAGGAAAGAAAUGGAAACAACUCAUGAAAUGCUCCGGAUGGUAAGAAAAGAAUUAUGCAAUCGAAAACAAUUAUGAGAGGAUGGCAUGAAGCUAGAACCAUGAAUCUUGAAGAGAAUGGAGCAAGAUUUAAGAGAAAGUCUUCUUCGGUCUUCAAAUGUUGAGAGUGAUGAUGAGAACCACCAUGCAUUGUUGAGAUACUCCGGAACAAAGAAGAAUAGAAAUGAUGAACCAACGAUGAAAAUAUUCUGAAAGCGAUCUUGGAUAAGGAAAAUGACUGAUGAAAAUUCAUUCUUACGUCAAACUUCGAAAGACUUUGGGAAUGGCUCCGGGAAAAUUAGAAGAGUCAGGUAAGAUCCUGGGAAAAGACCUGUGGGUUAGGGCCCACUCGAAAGAAACACCAUUGAAAUAAUUGAUUGAAAGGGGGGAUUGCACCGGUUGAAUUAAAUGACUUGAAUGAUAUAACAACCUCGAAAUAUCUUGGACGGAUUAAGAAUGGAAACACAAAUCUUGUGAGAUAUCUUCAGCACUCCCGAACAAAUGAAUAGCAAGAGGUGAGUUAUUGAGAGGUGCACCGGCAUGAGAAAGCAUUUGAAACGAGGAAAGGGAUAUGAUUAACACCGAAAGCUUGAGUUAAAACCACCGGAAAAGAAUACGAGAAUGAAGAAUGAUGAACUUGAAGCUCGUGAGCAUCUUCACGAGGGAUCACCGGAUCAAAACAAUGAUUGAAAAGAGUGAAGAGACUUCACAUGAAUAAAUGGAUACUUGAUUAAGAUAUAUGAGUCCUUGAAGAAAAAGGGUGGGAGGGCGGGAAAAACAAAAACAACUUGGGACGAAUGGAAGAAACACCAUUGAGAAAACUUAGAAUUGAUCUUGCGGAUGUUGAAAAUGAUUGGAUCCACUUGAAGAGAAGCACGCCGGUUGGAAAAGAAUUAACAUGACGACCUCGAUGAUCAAGAAGGAUUAGUAUUCACAUAGCAAUAUGAGAACACCGUUUAAGAAAGGUAUGGAUUCAACACUUGACUUCGAAGCAACUCGAAUACCACAAAUAAAACAAAACAAAGGAUUGGCUUGCAGAAUAAGCCGGAACAAACAUAUGAUAGAGAUUUCGUCCGAAGUUUUCAUGGUGGGGCCCACACGGGCUCGAGUGUACAGCACCAUCAUGUACAAGGCAGUGCACAUGACAUAUGAAGUGUCCCCGAACCAGCAUAGCCAAGGGUUCUUUAAGACACAACGAGACCACUAUAAAAACGACCGUGGAAAGGCGGACCACUAGACGUCGAACCCCAAUCUCAUAUCAUGCAUCUGUCGAAAAGAUAUUCUAGGGACUACUUGAAUUCCCACCUAUAAAACUCCCAAAACUUUCUGGUUAUGCAAUCUGGUGUUGGGGAUACAGGGGAAGCAAUAUAUCUCACCCAAACUAACAAUACCUACAUCCAAGCUGUAUCCAUCCGUCAACACAUAACCAAAAAACCUUCGGAAAUCGUGUACCUCAACCUUCGAAAAGCAUUCGUUAUACGAGUUAUGGCAAUACUCCCGAGCUCACCCCAGUACUGGGUUAUCGGGGUUAUCUCACCAACAACUGCAUAAAAGAGAUUUUCGAUGUCGGCAAAACUCAGGUAUUCCAGAACUGCAAUGAUAAAAUUGUGACGACAACACCUCGGAGAUCAACUCCCCGGGUCAAAGCCACAUAAAUAGACAGGAGGCACCAAGAACAAUGUUCUCGUCACAAAAUCAUCGGAACGAUUCCAAGAUACCCGCGUGAUCCUAAAAAAAUUUAGUGAAAUUUGAGGAGAGGAAAGUCAAAACAUCUACGUUAGGAGACCUCACCAGAGCGAUGAAGGGGCUGAGGAGUAAAAAGAAUCCUACUCUCCGAUAUAUAUAAUCCUAAGACUCAAAAUAGUUUUCUUUCUAGACUCAACAACGGCCAACAAUCAAGGGGGCUCCUAAGGUCGGUCGAGGCUCUGAUACCAACUUGUCACGCCCAAUAUGCGACCCUAUCCAAAAGAAACUCGAAGGUCCCACCAAGGAUAGACCCGCAUACUGAAAUGCUUUGCAAGGUGGAUAUCAUUACAUCAACAUUACAUAAUAGAUGGGGAUACAUACAUAAGGCUUACAAUGCCACACGAAUACAACAUCACAAUACAUAAGAGCAUCAUCAGUCUACGGAUGAAUCACAAACAGAAACUCAAACGACAUCCACCCUGCUAGCCCAGGCUGCCGACCUGGAACCUAUCCCCUGAUCGAAGAAGAAGCAAAAGAAGAACUCAACGCAAG